GAUGAACGCUGGCGGCGUGCCUAAUACAUGCAAGUCGAGCGAACGGACGAGAAGCUUGCUUCUCUGAUGUUAGCGGCGGACGGGUGAGUAACACGUGGAUAACCUACCUAUAAGACUGGGAUAACUUCGGGAAACCGGAGCUAAUACCGGAUAAUAUUUUGAACCGCAUGGUUCAAAAGUGAAAGACGGUCUUGCUGUCACUUAUAGAUGGAUCCGCGCUGCAUUAGCUAGUUGGUAAGGUAACGGCUUACCAAGGCAACGAUGCAUAGCCGACCUGAGAGGGUGUACGGCCACACUGGAACUGAGACACGGUCCAGAGUCCUACGGGAGGCAGCAGUAGGGAAUCUUCCGCAAUGGGCGAAAGACUGACGGAGCAACGCCGCGUGGGUGAUGAAGGUCUUCGGAUCGUAAAACUCUGUUAUUAGGGAAGAACAUAUGUGUAAGUAACUGUGCACAUCUUGACGGUACCUAAUCAGAAAGCCACGGCUAACUACGUG
rnacentral:rRNA from 1 species